rnacentral:rRNA from 1 species
AGUGAACGCUGGCGGUAGGCCUAACACAUGCAAGUCGAACGGCAGCACAGUAAGAGCUUGCUCUUACGGGUGGCGAGUGGCGGACGGGUGAGGAAUACAUCGGAAUCUACUUUUUCGUGGGGGAUAACGUAGGGAAACUUACGCUAAUACCGCAUACGACCUACGGGUUAAAGCAGGGGAUCUUCGGACCUUGCGCGAUUGAUUGAGCCGGUGUCGGAUUAGCUAGUUGGCGGGGUAAAGGCCCACCAAGGCGACGAUCCGUAGCUGGUCUGAGAGGAUGAUCAGCCACACUGGAACUGAGACACGGUCCAGACUACGACGGGAGGCAGCAGUGGGGAAUAUUGAACAAUGGGCGCAAGCCUGAUCCAGCCAUACCGCGUGGGUGAAGAAGGCCUUCGGGUUGUAAAGCCCUUUUGUUGGGAAAGAAAAGCAGCAGGUUAAUACCCCGCUGUUCUGACGGUACCCAAAGAAUAAGCACCGGCUAACUUCGUG